AACAGGAUUAGAUACCCUGGUAGUCCACGCCGUAAACGAUGAUGACUAGCUGUCGGGGCUCUUAGAGCUUCGGUGGCGCAGCUAACGCGUUAAGUCAUCCGCCUGGGGAGUACGGUCGCAAGAUUAAAACUCAAAGGAAUUGACGGGGACCCGCACAAGCGGUGGAGCAUGUGGUUUAAUUCGAUGCAACGCGAAGAACCUUACCUGGCCUUGACAUCCAUGGGACCCCGAAGAGAUUUGGGGGUGCCGUAAGGAACCAUGAGACAGGUGCUGCAUGGCUGUCGUCAGCUCGUGUCGUGAGAUGUUGGGUUAAGUCCCGCAACGAGCGCAACCCUUGUCCUUAGUUGCCAGCAUUUAGUUGGGCACUCUAAGGAGACCGCCGGUGACAAACCGGAGGAAGGUGGGGAUGACGUCAAGUCAUCAUGGCCUUUAUGGCCAGGGCUACACACGUGCUACAAUGGUAGGUACAGAGGGAAGCCAACGCGCGAGCGGGAGCCAAUCCCAGAAAACCUAUCGUAGUCCGGAUCGGAGUCUGCAACUCGACUCCGUGAAGUCGGAAUCGCUAGUAAUCGCAGAUCAGCAUUGCUGCGGUGAAUACGUUCCCGGGUCUUGUACACACCGCCCGUCACACCAUGGGAGUUGAUUGCACCAGAAGCAGGUAGCCUGACCGCAAGGAGGGCGCCUACCACGGUGUGGUCAAUGACUGGGGUGAAGUCGUAACAAGGUAACC
rnacentral:rRNA from 1 species